UACGGAGGGUGCAAGCGUUAUCCGGAUUCACUGGGUUUAAAGGGUGCGUAGGUGGGCAAGUAAGUCAGUGGUGAAAUCUCCGGGCUUAACCCGGAAACUGCCAUUGAUACUAUUUGUCUUGAAUACUGUGGAGGUCAGCGGAAUAUGUCAUGUAGCGGUGAAAUGCUUAGAUAUGACACAGAACACCAAUUGCGAAGGCAGCUGGCUACACAAAUAUUGACACUGAGGCACGAAAGCGUGGGGAUCAAACAGG
rnacentral:rRNA from 1 species